rnacentral:rRNA from 1 species
AGAGCGAACGCUGGCGGCAGGCUUAACACAUGCAAGUCGAGCGGGCGUAGCAAUACGUCAGCGGCAGACGGGUGAGUAACGCGUGGGAACGUACCUUUUGGUUCGGAACAACACAGGGAAACUUGUGCUAAUACCGGAUAAGCCCUUACGGGGAAAGAUUUAUCGCCGAAAGAUCGGCCCGCGUCUGAUUAGCUAGUUGGUGGGGUAACGGCUCACCAAGGCGACGAUCAGUAGCUGGUCUGAGAGGAUGAUCAGCCACAUUGGGACUGAGACACGGCCCAAACUCCUACGGGAGGCAGCAGUGGGGAAUAUUGGACAAUGGGCGCAAGCCUGAUCCAGCCAUGCCGCGUGAGUGAUGAAGGCCCUAGGGUUGUAAAGCUCUUUUGUGCGGGAAGAUAAUGACGGUACCGCAAGAAUAGCCCCGGCUAACUUCGUGCCAGCAGCCGC